UGUUAGGAAUCACACAAGAACAUGGAGCUAUACAACCAAAACAUAUAUGAAGAGGAUUAUGACCAUACAGGCUCCAUGACCUCUGUGAGCCUCCUUGAAUCUCAGUCAGUUGAUUCUGUAGGCCAUGUUGUUAUGGUAUCCUUGUCCCUUCGGAACCUCUAAUCCUACUCUCCUUCCUCCACAGGACUCAAUAAGCUCCACCUAAUAUUUGGCUGUGGGACUCUGCAUCUGCUCCCAUCAGUAGCUGUGUGAAGUCUCUCUGAUGAUGAUUAUGUUAAGUUUUGAUCCCAGCACAUCCUGUAGGCAUUACAAACUAGUACAGAAAGAAAGAGAAUAUAAGGACUAACUCAAAACAUCAUGGAGUGAAAAUAAAAAAUAAAAACUUCAUCCAAAAACCAGAUAAGGAUAAAGGGAUGUUCCUCUUUGCUGUCUCUAAGUUCACUGGAAUUAAUUGGUUUGAUCUUCAAAUUCAAUUCUGUGCUGUGGAGAAGAAAAAUCAGUUUUGAACACUUGUACAAGGCAAACACUGAGAUUAACUCAUGACAACUAAUUUUAUCCCCA